AUGGAUUUCUUCUCCCGCGUUGGAUUUUCACAACGCAAACUCUCAAUCUUGAGCCUCAAACCUGGACUCCAUUCAUACGCGGGCGCGAACGUCGCUUCCAUUUUCCCUUCCCCUCCUGCACUGCAUUUGGGGCGCGCUAGCUCUAUGGACAAUGACAGAGCACGCCGUCAUGGCAAGCAUUCGGAGCUAGGUUGUCCAAGCGGGGCGCGCGACGGAGAGGCCGACCUCAUCAGCGCCGUCCCGACGGACCUGCUUCUCCAGGUCCUCGUCCGCCUCCGUUGCGCCCGCGCCGCCGCACGCACCAGCAUCCUCUCCCGCCGGUGGCGUGGCCUCUGGACCCGCCUCCCCGAGCUCACCUUCCGCGACGUCGCGCCUGGCCCGCUCCUAGCGGCUCUCUCCUCGCUCGGACCUGCCGGCGCACCCCUGUCUCUCCUCGACAUCCACGUCCCUGAACCACAGCACAAGGUGCCUGUCGAUCGCGGCCCUCCAUGGGCCCGUGGCCGACCAAGAAGACAGAGUUACCGACUACAGCCCCUGCAUCCCACCAACCAGGUCACCAUGCUGCUCCGCGCCGCCGGGAGGCUCUCGCCGGCGGCGUUCCGCUUCAGUCACCAGCACGAGCUAGAGAACCCGUACGUCGACGUGGACCUGUCUAGCUGCUUCCGCCGCGCCACCUCCAUCGAGCUGGAAGUACAGUUCAUAUGCUUUCCCGAACCGCCGUCUGAGUUCCCGGCGCUCGAGAGUCUUUCGCUGUCGGGUUGCCUUGUCCGUCUCGCCGUCGUAGUACCCCUCUGCCCGCGCCUGCGCGUGCUCAGGGUGCCUCGAGCUUUCUACCAAGGCGACGUCAUCACCGUCCGCUCGGCGUCGCCGCAGGAGCUCGUCGUGGAGAACGAGGUCGCUGGCGCAUCAACGAGACGUGUCGACGUCGAGGCCCCCGCGCUCAAGCAAUUGACCGUGUUCUUACGCAACAGUGGCGAUCUCAGCGUCUCUGUCUUGGCACCAGCUGUGGAGAAAGUCUCGUGGCGGUGCAUGUAUUCCGGCGUGAGGGCUGGGCUUGGACUUUGGGGCCUCAUGGCAGCAAGAUUAAUGAGGGAGAAGAGCAGUGGACGACAGGGGGUUCUCCCUCCCAUCCAUGUUAUGUUCCUUCACAUGGUUGCCAUGAUGGGGAGCUCCGAUUUACGACAGAGAUAA
rnacentral:rRNA from 1 species